rnacentral:rRNA from 1 species
UGGGGAAUAUUGGGCAAUGGGCGCAAGCCUGACCCAGCCAUGCCGCGUGAGUGAUGAAGGCCUUCGGGUCGUAAAGCUCUGUGGGGAGGGAAGAAACCCGCUAUGGCUAAUAUCCACGGCGAUUGACGGUACCUCCUUAGCAAGCACCGGCUAACUCCGUGCCAGCAGCCGCGGUAAUACGGAGGGUGCAAACGUUGCUCGGAAUCAUUGGGCGUAAAGCGCACGUAGGCGGCUUGUUAAGUCGGGUGUGAAAGCCCUGGGCUCAACCCAGGAAGUGCACUCGAAACUGGCGAACUUGAAUAUGGAAGAGGGUCGCGGAAUUCCCGGUGUAGAGGUGAAAUUCGUAGAUAUCGGGAGGAACACCAGUGGCGAAGGCGGCGACCUGGGCCAAUAUUGACGCUGAGGUGCGAAAGCGUGGGGAGCAAACAGGAUUAGAUACCCCUGUAGUCC